rnacentral:rRNA from 1 species
UACGAAGGGGGCUAGCGUUGCUCGGAAUUACUGGGCGUAAAGCGCACGUAGGCGGUCUUUUAAGUCGGUGGUGAAAUCCUGGAGCUCAACUCCAGAACUGCCUUCGAUACUGGGAGUCUUGAGUCCGGGAGAGGUGAGUGGAACUGCGAGUGUAGAGGUGAAAUUCGUAGAUAUUCGCAAGAACACCAGUGGCGAAGGCGGCUCACUGGCCCGGUACUGACGCUGAGGUGCGAAAGCGUGGGGAGCGAACAGG